rnacentral:rRNA from 1 species
CAGUCGCCGCGGUAAUACGAAGGGUGCAAGCGUUACUCGGAAUUACUGGGCGUAAAGCGUGCGUAGGUGGUGGUUUAAGUCCGCUGUGAAAUCCCCGGGCUCAACCUGGGAAUGGCAAUGGAUACUGGCAAGCUAGAGUGUGUCAGAGGAUGGUGGAAUUCCCGGUGUAGUGGUGAAAUGCGUAGAGAUCGGGAGGAACAUCAGUGGCGAAGGCGGCCAUCUGGGACAACACUGACGCUGAGGCACGAAAGCGUGGGGAGCAAACAGGAUUAGAUACCCGCGUAGUCCCUGUCUCUUAUAC